UAUAGUAUAGUGUACGGUGCACACAGGCUUUUGAAUCCUGAAGACUAAGUUCAACUCCUUUCACUAUAA
rnacentral:tRNA from 1 species